rnacentral:rRNA from 1 species
GGUAUAGACCCGAAACCGGGCGAUCUAACCAUGAGCAGGUUGAAGAUUGAGUAACAUCAAUUGGAGGACCGAACCCACUAAUGUUGAAAAAUUAGGGGAUGACUUGUGGCUAGGAGUGAAAGGCUAAUCAAGCCCGGAGAUAGCUGGUUCUCCCCGAAAUCUAUUUAGGUAGAGCCUCGGACGAAUACCAUUGGGGGUAGAGCACUGUUUGGGCUAGGGGGUCAUCCCGACUUACCAACCCCAUGCAAACUCCGAAUACCAAUGAGUACUAUCCGGGAGACACACGGCGGGUGCUAACGUCCGUCGUGAAGAGGGAAACAACCCAGACCGCCAGCUAAGGUCCCGAAGUUAUGGCUCAGUGGGAAACGAUGUGGGAAGGCAGAGACAGCUAGGAGGUUGGCUUAGAAGCAGCCACCCUUUAAAGAAAGCGUAAUAGCUCACUAGUCGAGUCGGCCUGCGCGGAAGAUGUAACGGGGCUAAGCCAUACACCGAAGCUGCGGCUGCAUACUUAUGUAUGCGGGGUAGGGGAGCGUUCUGUAAGUGGGUGAAGGUGUGUUGAGAAGCACGCUGGACAUAUCAGAAGUGCGAAUGCUGACAUGAGUAACGAUAAUGGGAGUGAAAAACUCCCACGCCGGAAGACCAAGGUUUCCUAUCCCAUGCUAAUCAGGGUAGGGUAAGUCGGCCCCUAAGGCGAGGCGGAAACGCGUAGUCGAUGGAAAACAGGUUAAUAUUCCUGUACCG